rnacentral:rRNA from 1 species
CGUACAUCCAGAGAACUUAGCAGAGAUGCUUGGUGCCUUCGGGAACUCUGAGACAGGUGCUGCAUGGCUGUCGUCAGCUCGUGUUGUGAAAUGUUGGGUUAAGUCCCGNAACGAGCGCAACCCUUAUCCUUUGUUGCCAGCGGUUCGGCCGGGAACUCAAAGGAGACUGCCGGUGAUAAACCGGAGGAAGGUGGGGAUGACGUCAAGUCAUCAUGGCCCUUACGGCCAGGGCUACACACGUGCUACAAUGGCGCAUACAAAGAGAAGCGACCUCGCGAGAGCAAGCGGACCUCAUAAAGUGCGUCGUAGUCCGGAUUGGAGUCUGCAACUCGACUCCAUGAAGUCGGAAUCGCUAGUAAUCGUAGAUCAGAAUGCUACGGUGAAUACGUUCCCGGGCCUUGUACACACCGCCCGUCACACCAUGGGAGUGGGUUGCAAAAGAAGUAGGUAGCUUAACCUUCGGGAGGGCGCUUACCACUUUGUGAUUCAUGACUGGGGUGAAGUCGUAACAAGGUAGGCGUAGCGAG